AUUGAACGCUGGCGGCAUGCCUUACACAUGCAAGUCGAACGGUAACGCGGGGCAACCUGGCGACGAGUGGCGAACGGGUGAGUAAUGCAUCGGAACGUGCCCAGUAGUGGGGGAUAGCCCGGCGAAAGCCGGAUUAAUACCGCACACGACCUACGGGUGAAAGCGGGGGACCGUAAGGCCUCGCGCUAUUGGAGCGGCCGAUGUCAGAUUAGGUUGUUGGUGGGGUAAAAGCCUACCAAGCCGACGAUCUGUAGCUGGUCAGAGAGGACGACCAGCCACACUGGGACUGAGACACGGCCCAGACUCCUACGGGAGGCAGCAGUGGGGAAUUUUGGACAAUGGGGGCAACCCUGAUUCAGCCAUGCCGCGUGCGGGAAGAAGGCCUUCGGGUUGUAAACCGCUUUUGUCAGGGAAGAAACGCUCUGGGCUAAUACCCCGGGGUAAUGACGGUACCUGAAGAAUAAGCACCGGCUAACUACGUGCCAGCCGCCGCGGUAAGAC
rnacentral:rRNA from 1 species